UUUACUUUUGACUUGACUUGAAACUCUUAACUUAACUUAAGACUUGAUACUCUUAACUCGACUUGAGACUUGAAACGACGUUAAGACGUUCAAUAACGACUCUUGAAAAGCUUUAACGACUUGCCUUGACUUGCUUAACUUCUAAGCUUGGCGCUAACUUCACUUGACUUGGAAUCUAAUUUUCUUGAAUUGAAUUAUGGAUUCAAGGACUUGAUUGGUGUUUGGAAGGACCUCAUGAUGUUUAGGAAUGAUUUAGGAAUGAUUUGGGACAGCCAAACUUAAGAAAAUCUUCGAACAUAAAUUCUGAAAACAGUGGAGUCCGCGUCCUGUCCGCGACGCGGAGAAGAUUUUUGUUCACAGAGGGAACAAGUCCGCGACACGGACUUGUUUCAUGUAAGAAGCCCGACUUCCUCCUUCAUUUUUUUCCAACUCUAAAACCCUUUUAACUUCAAAGGUUCCAACCCUAAACACUUAGAAUCCUUAAAACCCUUUAAUAUGCAAUAGAUUUCAACUCAAAAACACAACUCAAUCAUGU
rnacentral:lncRNA from 1 species